rnacentral:rRNA from 1 species
UGACAUAAGUAACGAUAAAGCGGGUGAAAAGCCCGCUCGCCGGAAGACCAAGGGUUCCUGUCCAACGUUAAUCGGGGCAGGGUGAGUCGACCCCUAAGGCGAGGCCGAAAGGCGUAGUCGAUGGGAAACAGGUUAAUAUUCCUGUACUUGGUGUUACUGCGAAGGGGGGACGGAGAAGGCUAUGUUGGCCGGGCGACGGUUGUCCCGGUUUAAGCGUGUAGGCUGGUUUUCCAGGCAAAUCCGGAAAAUCAAGGCUGAGGCGUGAUGACGAGGCACUACGGUGCUGAAGCAACAAAUGCCCUGCUUCCAGGAAAAGCCUCUAAGCAUCAGGUAACAUCAAAUCGUACCCCAAACCGACACAGGUGGUCAGGUAGAGAAUACCAAGGCGCUUGAGAGAACUCGGGUGAAGGAACUAGGCAAAAUGGUGCCGUAACUUCGGGAGAAGGCACGCUGAUAUGUAGGUGAAGUCCCUCGCGGAUGGAGCUGAAAUCAGUCGAAGAUACCAGCUGGCUGCAACUGUUUAUUAAAAACACAGCACUGUGCAAACACGAAAGUGGACGUAUACGGUGUGACGCCUGCCCGGUGCCGGAAGGUUAAUUGAUGGGGUUAGCCGCAAGGCGAAGCUCUUGAUCGAAGCCCCGGUAAACGGCGGCCGUAACUAUAACGGUCCUAAGGUAGCGAAAUUCCUUGUCGGGUAAGUUCCGACCUGCACGAAUGGCGUAAUGAUGGCCAGGCUGUCUCCACCCGAGACUCAGUGAAAUUGAACUCGCUGUGAAGAUGCAGUGUACCCGCGGCAAGACGGAAAGACCCCGUGAACCUUUACUAUAGCUUGACACUGAACAUUGAGCCUUGAUGUGUAGGAUAGGUGGGAGGCUUGGAAGUGUGGACGCCAGUCUGCAUGGAGCCGACCUUGAAAUACCACCCUUUAAUGUUUGAUGUUCUAACGUUGACCCGUAAUCCGGGUUGCGGACAGUGUCUGGUGGGUAGUUUGACUGGGGCGGUCUCCUCCUAAAGAGUAACGGAGGAGCACGAAGGUUGGCUAAUCCUGGUCGGACAUCAGGAGGUUAGUGCAAUGGCAUAAGCCAGCUUGACUGCGAGCGUGACGGCGCGAGCAGGUGCGAAAGCAGGUCAUAGUGAUCCGGUGGUUCUGAAUGGAAGGGCCAUCGCUCAACGGAUAAAAGGUACUCCGGGGAUAACAGGCUGAUACCGCCCAAGAGUUCAUAUCGACGGCGGUGUUUGGCACCUCGAUGUCGGCUCAUCACAUCCUGGGGCUGAAGUAGGUCCCAAGGGUAUGGCUGUUCGCCAUUUAAAGUGGUACGCGAGCUGGGUUUAGAACGUCGUGAGACAGUUCGGUCCCUAUCUGCCGUGGGCGCUGGAGAACUGAGGGGGGCUGCUCCUAGUACGAGAGGACCGGAGUGGACGCAUCACUGGUGUUCGGGUUGUCAUGCCAAUGGCACUGCCCGGUAGCUAAAUGCGGAAGAGAUAAGUGCUGAAAGCAUCUAAGCACGAAACUUGCC